CAAAAUGAUUUAGGAGGUAAAUGCUGCCAAGUCUGGUGACCUAGUUCAAACCCUGGAGCCAUCAUCAGGAGAGAACUGAUGGCUGACAGUUGUCCCCUUUUUUGGGGGUGGGGUUCAAUACAGGGUUUCUCUGUAGUUUUGGAGCCUGUCUUGGAACUCACUCUAUAAACCAGACUGGUCCCAAACUCAGAGCUCUGCCUGUCUCUGCCGCCUGAGUGUGCCCUACCACCAAUCAGUAAAGGUUUUCCUCUUACCUUCCUCACAAUGGGGAUCCAUAGCCAGAUAUAAAGGCCCAAGGUAUGGUGAGAAAAUACACCAGCUUCCUAAAUUACCUUAAUCUUAAAUCCAAUCUAGCGCCUACACUAAUCCAGAAACCCCUCCCCUCCUACCUCAAAAGUUCCCUAAACUCUAAUGGCGGAAGUCCCUCUCCCAGGUCUGUUAAAGGGACUUUCUCUGUUCUCUGAGUUACAGUUGGAGCUCCUGCUACAGACCCCAUAGGUAGAUGGAUCUGAGUUCAAAGCUAGCUUGAUCUAGACAGCAGUUUCCGGACAGCUAGGACUACAGAGAUCCUCACUGAACACUGACUAGAGAGAGCCUUUCACAGAGCUGGAGGGCACCGCUGUCCCAAAACCAAUGAGUUCCCAAACUAGAAACAUGGAUUGUCUGCAUUUGUUUAGGAUUACCUUGAUUUCUGCCAGUAACUGAUAGUUUUUCAGGAUUCACCUGCCUUUGUCUCCUAAGUGCUAGUACUAAAGGUAAGUACCACCAGGCCCAGUCACAAUCAUUAAAAAACAUAUGCCUUUUUUUUAAAAAGAUUUAUUUAUUUACAUAUAUGCACCAGAUCUCAUUACAGGUGGCUGUGAGCCACCAUGUGGUUGCUGGGAAUUGAACUCAGGACCUCUGGAAGAGCAGUCAGUGCUCUUAAUCUCUGAGCCAUCUCUCCAGCCCCCAAUAUAUGCCUUUUGACUGACACGUUUAACCCAUUUCUCCUUGAUUAGGCGCAUCUCUCAGUCUACGUGUUUCUAAAUGUGCUAUUUUAUUUCUUUCCAUCUGAACGGCCCUGAGUGCCAUCUCCUGUGCUUCUUUAAAGGGCCAGCAUGGCGUUUUCUCUUGGGGGCUGUACUUGAUUUUGUUACCAGCUUCCAAGGUACUCAAUGGUGAAUGAGUGAUUUUGCUUUGUUCCUUUCUAGGAUGUGCCUGAUUCUCAAAAACUGCCUUUGUCACACCCUGAUGGUAAAGCUGGGGGUUAAAAGCAGAGCAUCUCAGUAAUGCUAUUCCUCCUUUACUUCCUUGAUGCUUUUGAAUAGAUAUUUUCUGUUGUCCAUUAUAAUGCCUUCCUUUUAAAGAUUUAUUUACGUGUAUGAGGUUUUUCUGGUUUGUGUUUCUGCACCACAUGUAUGCCUGGUGCUUACAGAGGUCAGAAGAGGGAGGCUGAUCCCCUGGAACUGGAGUUCUGCACAGCUGUGAACUGCCCAUGCAGGUGCUGGCAAUCAGAGCUGCUCCUCUGGGAGGACAAAUCUCCUUUUCUUCUUCUUCUUUUUUUUCUCCUUUUGGUUUUUCUGUAGACCAGGAGAGCCUUAAACUCACUUACCCACCUGUCUCUGGUGAGAGUGCCGAAUUAGGGGCAUGUGUCACCAGCAGCAGCAAGGAAGAACAGUUUCUUUUUAUUUUAUUUUUUUGUUUGGUUUUUGUUUUUUUUUUUUUUUUUUCCGAGACAGGGUUUCUCUGUAGCUUUGGACCCUUAUCCUGGAACUCACUCUGUAGACCAGGAUGGCCUUGGGAAGAACAGUUUCUUAACUGUUGAACCAUCUCUCUAUUUCCUAAUUAUUUUUCCCUUAUGUUUUUUUUUUUUUUUCAAGACAGGGUUUCUCUGUGUAGUCCUGGCUGUCCUGGAGCUCAGAGAUCCACCUGCCUCUGCCUCCUAUGUGCUGGAACUAAGGGCAUGCACCACCACCACUUGGCUUUAAUUUCUUCAUUUAAAAAAUGUUUUUAAAAUUAUUUUCCUAAUGGUUGCUCUAGCAAUUCCAGUAUACACCCUAACUAGUCACAACAUAUUUCAGAUUGCUCACUUUCUAUAAAAUACAGAAACGACAAGAACUCUACUUUUCCUCUCUUCUUUUACAAUUAUAUAUUAAUCUGAUAAACCAAAAACUAUAUAGUUCUUAAUUACACAACUUUCAAUUUAGCUAAGACAAUGAAAGGACAGUUUAUUUAUAGUCUUUUAUAUUUACCUCUGUAACUAACAUUCAUAGUGGUUUUUCUUCAAGUUACCAUCUGGUACCAUAUUCUGUAAGUUUGAACAGCUUUUAAUAAUUCAUGUAAGAUAGAUCUGCAAACAAAUGUCUUGGUGCUUGCUUAUUAGGGAUUUAAAAAAAAUUUCCUCUAAUGUUUUGAGCUUUGGUUUUUAGUUUUUAAAACAGGGUCUUGAUCUAUAGCCCAAGCUAGCCUUGAAUUCAUAUGCCUCAGUUUCUGAAUAACAAAGUUUUUAUGGAGAAACAAUUAUCAGUAGGUCUGUGCACCUAUGUAUUUGUGUGUGUGUGUGGAGAGAGAGAGAGAAAUUAAUGCUGGAGAUUAUUAGCAUGUAGAGACGAUGUCCAAAAGCUCAGGAGCUCUGAUGUCCAAGGGUAGACGAGGGAUGUCUUAGAGCAUGGGGAGGGAAACACCAGAGAAAUACUUUAUUUCUUAUGUAAAUUUCCACAAACCCCUAAAGUUGACACAGAAUUUUUUUUCUUUUCUUUUUUUUUUUUUAAGUUUUAGUUCAGGACAGGGUUUAAUCUCUGUAAUCCUGGCUGUCCUGGAACUCAGGCUCAAACUCAGAGAUCUGCCUGCCUCUGCCUCCAGAGUGUUGGGAUUAAAGGUGUGCGCCACCGCCCAGCCAAAAACCUUUUUUAAAGAGAAAAAUUUGUGUAACAAUUGUUUUGAAGUGUACAUUUUAGUGGGAUCUUAGUACAUUUUAAUGUACUUAAAACUGCUGCGCUAUUACCAUCUUCCUAGCUCCAGAAUGUCCUUAUCCCCUCAGAACACUCUGUAUCCAUUAAGAAAUCACUUGGGAGCCUCACUGUUCCUUAUAAUCCAGACAGCCACUGCUUUUCUCCAGUGCAUGAAUUUUCCUAUGCCUGGUUACUUCAUACAAAGGGAAUCGUAACAUGCUGUGUUAUGCAUCACUGAUCUCUUUUCAAAAUGGCUCUGAGUCUUCAAAGAUCUCGAAAGAACAGUACUCAACUUCAUAUGGAAAAGCAAAAAACCCAGGAUAGCCAAAACAAUCCUGUGCAAUAAAAGAACUUCUGGAGGCAUCACAAUCCCUGACUUCCAACUCUACUACAGAGCUACAGUACUGAAAACAGCCUGGUAUUGGCAUAAGAACAGACAGGAGGACCAAUGGAACACAAUAGAAGACCCAGAUAUCAAUCCACACAUAUUUGAACACCUGACCUUUGAUAAAGAAGCAAAAAAUAUCAAAUGGAAAAAAGAAAGUAUAUUUAACAAGUAGUGCUGGCAUUACUGGAUAUCAAUGUGUAGAAAAAUGAAAAUAGACCCUUAUCUAUCACCAUGCACAAAACUCAAGUCCAAAUGGAUCAAAGACCUCAACAUAAAGCCAGCCACACUGAACCUUAUAGAAGAGAAAGUGGGAAGUACACUUGAACGCAUUGGCACAGGGAACCACUUCCUAAAUAGAACCCCAGCAGCACAGACACUGAGAGAAACAAUAAAUGGGAUCUCCUGAAACUGAAAAGCUUCUGUAAAGCAAAGGACAUGGUCAACAAGACAAAACGACAGCCUACAGAAUGGGAAAAGAUCUUCACUAACCCCACAUCAGAGGUCUGAUCUCCAAAAUAUACAAAGAACUCAAGAAAGUGGACACCAAAAGAUCAUAUACCCCCCCCCAAAAUGGAGUACAGACCUAAACAGAGAACUCUCAACAGAAGAAUCUAAAAUGGCUGAAAGACACUUAAGAAAAUGUUCAACAUCCUUUGUCAUCAGAGAAAUGCAAAUCAAAACAACUCUGAGAUUUCAUCUUACACCUGUAAGAAUGGCCAAAAUCAAAAACACUGAUGACAACUUAUGCUGGAGAGGUUGUGGGGUAAAGGGAAUACUUCUGCAUUGCUAGUGGGAAUGCAAGCUGGUACAGCCCCUUUGGAUGUUCAGUGUGGCGAUUUCUCAGAAAAUUAGGAAACAAAUUCCUCAAGACCCAGUAAUACCACUUUUGGGUAUAUAUCCAAAGGAUGUUCAAUUGUUUCACAAGGACAUGUGCUCAGCUAUGUUCAUAGCAGCUUUGUUUGUCAUAGCCAGGACCUGGAAACAACCUAAAUGCCCCUGACCAACGAAUGGAUAAAGAAAAUGUGGUACAUUUACACAAUGGAGUACUACCGGGAGAAAAAAAUAACGACAGCUUGAAUUUUGCAGGAAAAUGGAUGGAGCUAGAAAAAUUAUUUUGAGUGAGGUAACCCAGACACAUUAUCACAUGUACUCACUCAUAGGUGUUUUUUUAAACAUAAAGCAAAGAAAGCCAGCCUAUAAAUCACACUCCCAGAGAAUUUAGACAACAAUGCAGACACUAAGAGAGAUUUACAUAGAUCUAAUCUACAUGGGAAGUAGAAAGUAGAAAAAUACAAGAUCUCCUGAGUAAAGUGGGAGCAUGGGGACCUUGGGGGAGGAUUAAAGGGUGGAGGUGAAAGGCAGGGAGGAGAG